rnacentral:rRNA from 1 species
UACGUAGGCAGCAAGCGUUGUUCGGAGUUACUGGGCGUAAAGAGUGCGUAGGCGGUUUUCUAAGUUUGGUGUGAAAUCUCCCGGCUCAACUGGGAGGGUGCGCCGAAAACUGGAAGGCUUGAGUAUGGGAGAGGUAAGCGGAAUUCCUGGUGUAGCGGUGAAAUGCGUAGAUAUCAGGAGGAACACCUGUGGUGUAGACAGCUUACUGGACCAUCACUGACGCUGAGGUACGAAAGCGUGGGUAGCAAACGGG